UACGAAGGGGGCUAGCGUUGCUCGGAAUUACUGGGCGUAAAGGGCGCGUAGGUGGCGGGACAAGCGUGCGGUGAAAGCCUGGGGCUCAACCCCGGGUCGGCCGUGCGAACUGUUUUGCUUGAGCACUGUAGAGGCAGGCGGAAUUCCGGGUGUAGCGGUGGAAUGCGUAGAGAUCCGGAAGAACACCGGUGGCGAAGGCGGCCUGCUGGGCAGUAGCUGACACUGAGGCGCGACAGCGUGGGGAGCAAACAGG
rnacentral:rRNA from 1 species